GACGAACGCUGGCGGCGUGCCUAAUACAUGCAAGUAGAACGCACAGUUUAUACCGUAGCUUGCUACACCAUAGACUGUGAGUUGCGAACGGGUGAGUAACGCGUAGGUAACCUGCCUGGUAGCGGGGGAUAACUAUUGGAAACGAUAGCUAAUACCGCAUAAUAUUGAUUAUUGCAUGAUAAUUGAUUGAAAGAUGCUAUUGCAUCACUACCAGAUGGACCUGCGUUGUAUUAGCUAGUAGGUGAGGUAACGGCUCACCUAGGCGACGAUACAUAGCCGACCUGAGAGGGUGAUCGGCCACACUGGGACUGAGACACGGCCCAGACUCCUACGGGAGGCAGCAGUAGGGAAUCUUCGGCAAUGGACGAAAGUCUGACCGAGCAACGCCGCGGGAGUGAAGAAGGGUGUCGGAUCGUAAAGCUCUGUUGUAAGAGAAGAACGGGUGUGAGAGUGGAAAGUUCACACUGUGACGGUAUCUUACCAGAAAGGGACGGCUAACUACGUG
rnacentral:rRNA from 1 species